AGCCCCCCCAGCCGUUACUCCAACCCUUGUGGAGGAGGACGUCGAAGGUGGGGCUGAUGACUGGGGUGAAGUCGUAACAAGGUAGCCGUACCGGAAGGUGCGGCUGGAUCACCUCCUAACAGGGAGACAAACAACGAUUUUGAUGCCUGAGUACUUUUAUUCUUAGGCCGAAAUCCUGUCACCUUAGGUCGAUCGGUACCUCAACUUCAGUGGUCAGAGAGCUUGCUCUGCUGAUGCAUUGAUUUUUAGUUCCUAAACGUUGUCUAGGUCACCCCAUAGAGGGUUCACUUCCUGGGCCAUUAGCUCAGGUGGUUAGAGCGCACCCCUGAUAAGGGUGAGGUCCCUGGUUCAAGUCCAGGAUGGCCCAUUCCAAAAUCCAUUUUGGAUCAUUUGGGGGUUUAGCUCAGUUGGUAGAGCGCCUGCUUUGCAAGCAGGAUGUCAGCGGUUCGAGUCCGCUAACCUCCACUAACACUACUGAACUCCUAAGCCAGGAAGAGCUUCUUGGUUGGUGACUAGACGUUGUUCGCACAGAAUCCACUGGUUUUCCAGUCGUAUUCAGCCUCAGCUCAUCUCCGAUAACGGAUUGAACUGAUGCUGAAUUCACUCCUGAAAGGGAGAGGAUUUAGCAGAACCUUGACAACUGCAUAGGUGAGUCUGGAAAGACAAAAGCAUCUCAUAGAGGCUAGUUCGAAAGAACUAGUGAUUCUAUUUUUGAGAGCCGAGACCUUCUAGCGUUCUUCCCAAUCCGCCGAGGAGCGGGGAGUUUGAUCCUUGUUUCUAACUGGAGCAGUAAUGCUUUAAGAGAAACUUGAGAGAAUGGGCCUCAACAGCCUGAAGCGUU
rnacentral:misc_RNA from 1 species